GGCAGGAUGGUCCCGUGGUUAGGACAUUAGCCUGAGACUUGAGAUCUGGGUUCUAUUCCUUGUUCUGCCC
rnacentral:tRNA from 1 species